rnacentral:rRNA from 1 species
CCUACGGGUGGCAGCAGUGGGGAAUAUUGGGCAAUGGGCGCAAGCCUGACCCAGCAACGCCGCGUGAAGGAAGAAGGCCUUCGGGUUGUAAACUUCUUUUAAGGGGGAAGAGCAGAAGACGGUACCCCUUGAAUAAGCCAUGGCUAACUACGUGCCAGCAGCCGCGGUAAUACGUAGGUGGCAAGCGUUGCCCGGAUUUACUGGGUGUAAAGGGCGUGCAGCCGGAGAGACAAGUCAGAUGUGAAAUCCACGGGCUCAACCCGUGAACUGCAUUUGAAACUGGUUCCCUUGAGUGUCGGAGAGGUAAGCGGAAUUCCAUGUGUAGCGGUGAAAUGCGUAGAUAUAAGGAAGAACACCAGUGGCGAAGGCGGAUUACUGGACGAUAACUGACGGUGAGGCGCGAAAGCGUGGGGAGCAAACAGGAUUAGAUACCCGGGUAGUC